GGCUCGCCCCCCCGCCUCACCGGGUCAGUGAAAAAACGAUCAGAGUAGUGGUAUUUCACCGGCGGCCCGCAGGGCCGGCAGACCCCGCCCUGGACCCCUCGCGGGGACACCGGGGGGCGCCGGGGGCCUCCCACUUAUUCUACACCUCUCACGUCUCUUCACCGUGCCAGACUAGAGUCAAGCUCAACAGAGUCUUCUUUCCCCGCUGAUUCCGCCAAGUCCGUUCCCUUGGCUGUGGUUUCGCUGGAUAGUAGGUAGGGACAGUGGGAAUCUCGUUCAUCCAUUCAUGCGCCUCACUAAUUAGAUGACGAGGCAUUUGGCUACCUUAAGAGAGUCAUAGUUACUCCUGCCGUUUACCCGCGCUUCAUUGAAUUUCUUCACUUUGACAUUCAGAGCACUGGGCAGAAAUCACAUCGCAUCAACACCCGCCGC
rnacentral:lncRNA from 10 species